CAAAGAAGCCAGAACCUUACGUAGAGCUCUAAAAGCUGCUGAAAAUGACAACUUUGAGGAAACGGAAGGACUGCUCUAUGCACCAGGCAUAGCUGAUUAAUAUGACUUUGGAAGGCUGUGUGUUUCCCCGAACCAACUCAUCUUUUCUUUGAGGACUCCAUAUUGACGUCAAAAAUUUUAAACAAAUUAAUG
rnacentral:lncRNA from 1 species